rnacentral:rRNA from 1 species
UUGCUUUCUCCGCCGGCGACCGGCGCACGGGUGAGUAACACGUAUGCAACCUGCCCCUGUCAGGGGGACAACCCGCCGAAAGGCGGGCUAAACCCGCGUACAUGCCACCGGGGCAUCCCGGAGGCAGGAAAGGCUUCGGCCGGACAGGGAUAGGCAUGCGGCGCAUUAGGCAGUAGGCGGGGUAACGGCCCACCUAACCGACGAUGCGUAGGGGUUCUGAGAGGAAGGUCCCCCACACUGGUACUGAGACACGGACCAGACUCCUACGGGAGGCAGCAG